GAUAAACUGCAGUCAAGUGCAGAAAAGCUGGGGACUAGUGGAGGGAAGCUGGAGGAUUCAGGAAUGGGGAGCAUAAAUGAAGAGAAUAUUGAAAGGUUGAUAGAAGUUACUGGUGCUGAGAUGGAAAUUCCUGUUGAAAGAGUGGAAGGGAAUGAUGAGCUCGAAGGGGCUAAGGAGGCGGGACUUGAGGAGGAUGUCUUGGAUGGGGUGAAUGAUAUUGCUGAUGAAUCUGUUUCCGUGGAAGAGAAAGAGGUUACAGGUGAAGGUAGUGGUGAAUGAGGCAGAUGAAGGACUGAAGCUAAAGAAAGAAAGGGAAGCAGAUAGCGGAAGUGUUGCAAGUCAAAAAGGAGAAAUUAGAGCCAAGCAGAGCAUUAUUGACCCUGAAGAGGUAAACACGAGAGAGGCAAGGAGAGCACGGGAAUGAAGAGCUUCUGGGGUUGAAGGUGGAGGCGAGGGCCAAUGGAAACAAAGAAGGGUGAGAAAAAGGGAAAUGGGAACAUUUUGAGGAGAAAGAAAAGAUCUGAAAAUGUGUUGAUAAGUAGAGGAAAAGUGGAGAUUGGCUUCUUGGAGAAGAGCUGUGACUUGUAGGGAAAUGUUUGAGAAAGGGAUUUGGGAUGGGCUAGAAGAUUUCGUUUGAUGUGUGAUUGGGUUUACGAGAUACAGAAGAAUGCAUAGUGAGAAAAGUGGAAAAUUACAGAAGGACAAAGGAUAGGUAAUGGAGGUUGUGUAGGAAGAAGCAAGCUGGAGCGAGCAAAGAAAACUUCUCAACGAGGAUCCUGAAGAAGAAUGAGGGGCUCCAAAGUGACCAAAGCAAGAGCAAAGAAAAUGAGGGAAGAGAAAAAAAAAUCUCUGCCUUCCCAAGAUCAUCUGCUCCUAGCCUCGUCUGGUGAUUCUCUGAGCACCGAGAAGUUGUCGCCUCUCUUAAAGGAGGCCCACACAGGCACGAGGUCAGGACAGCUGUGUGGGGCUCUCCAAUUGCACUGCACAAUGUAUAAAUGACGAAGGAAAUAAUCAGACCUGUUCUUUGGAUGGAUUACAUUUUCUCCUGGGACACCGGAUGCAUUCCACUGAGGCCGCAGAAAGGAAAAGGAUUGAGACGCCACGACAAAUGGAGGCCACCUUGUUCUGCCAGCUGGAACCACCCGGGGAAGCCUUCCCUCUGCCCCAAGCCAGCAGCUGUGUUGCCGGUCCUUGCCGGCCACCGAGCGACUUCUCAGCCCUUCUCGCCUCCUCGUCUCCACUGCAGUUUCUCUGACCAGAGGACUCUUACUUCCAUCCUCAGCGAGGCCAUCUCCCUGGGCCCCGGCCAGCAGUCCUGUCAGAAUCUCACCUUCUUAUCUGUUCUUACUGGCACCUGGGGAGGGCUUAGAACAUGCCUGUGGUGGUGGCUGAGGACAAAGCAAGCAUCCAGAUUGCUGAUGGAAAUAGAGAGACCCUCUGCCCACCCCACGGCCCACACCUCUUCCCUUCUGGCACCAGGGUGCUCUUUUCCCACCUCCUGGAACAUCACGUCAAAGGCCCACGCCUGGCAGCCGCCCCCUCCUCGUUGUCCAUCUAGCAGGGAAGGGACAGGAUGGAAGAACACUGAACUGGGACUCAGGGACCAGGUCCCCAGACUGAUCAUGUCUCCGCAAGCGAUCUCGAGGUUUUUCACUCAACCAGGAAAAAGGCAGGCCUUGCAGCCUGGCCCCAUAGUCUUCUCAGUGUGUCAGACAGUGGACCCGGCGCAUCAAAGACUCCUCGCUUCCGCCGGGCUUCCUCCUCGAGCCGCAGCUGGGCUAACUCGGCCUUCGCCAUGGUGACUCUCGUUCCACAAAAGGAGGUAGAGACAAACAGAAACCUCUACCGUCUUCUGUCUCUCGGUAUCGCAUAGCCUGAGCGAGGCUCCUGAAAGCUGGAGCCCGGCCACACCGCCUGCACAAGGAGCGGCAGAGGGAGGAGUGACGGCAGGCAGUAUCUUUUCCCCCUUUCCCAACUGCCUGUCGUGCCGUGGCCACAGCCAAGCUAACACGGAGCACCCGAGCCCUCACACCAGGGCGGAUGGCCCCGACCGGCCGUGAACUGUGCUUCCCUGCGCGUCCUUGCCGCCCUUCUGGCCACCACAGGGCCGCGCGCCCCUGUGGGACACCACCCUUGUCAGAAGUAACCAUCGGCAGUGGCCACCCUCCGCUCUGGUCCUCCCUGCGCCCGGAGGCCUUGCCCUCACCUGCUUUCUUUCUGGGACAAAUGGUCUGGCAGGAGUCUGCCUCGGGUCACCCCAGCCUGGAGCGGUUUGGCAGCUUUGGGAGACGGCGCCCCAUGGGACAGGCAGGCGCCCCAUCUAGGCCACUGCCCGGGCCCACGUUGCUCUUCUGUCCCCAUCCAUGUCUGGUUUUCUAUGCUCCCUGCCUUGCUCCCUGGAGAGUGCGGCAGACCGUCCUUCCUUCGCUGCCAGCACUUCCCAGGAAUGACAAGAAUGAUCCUCAUUGGAGGCCUAAUUUCCCCCUGCCCACACACAUAUACUCUGGGGCCCAAAGAUGACCGAGAGGCCUGUCCACCGCGGCCGGACAAAAAGCGGCUCCCUGGGACAGGCAUGUGCUGGCGAACUGGCAAGAUAGACAAGAGAGGCCCCAAUGCGGAGAAGGGGGUGCCUGGAAGAGGCCCUGGGACACCCACAUCUGGGAGCACCUCCUUACAGCUUCUAGGCUGUUUCCGGGCUCAUCUCUCUACCCUCAAGUACCUUCCUGGCUUUUCGUUGUUCCUCAGCAGGGGCUUGGCGUACAGGGUUUCCCCAGCAUCCCCUUCAGUGCAAGACAUGGAAUUCGGGCCCUGGGUACAGGUGCUUGGAGUUCUCCUCAAGAAACCAGCAUUAGUCCCAGCACAUUAAUACUGACACUACAAAGGAGCAACGCUGGGGGCGGGGGAAGUGAAGGGCUCAAGGCCAAGCUCUUGGGCCCAAAUAGGUAGCUGUUAAUCUCCCUUCCACUAUGACCUUUUAGCCCCAUGUGCCCACUUCUGGGCUUUUUCCUCAGCUUUGGAAGGAGAGUGACGCCAGGGAAUGGUUCUGCCCUGGGGGUGGGAACUUCUAGAAUUGUGUCUCAGGGAGAGAGGCUGGAGUGCUGGUCAGACUGGAGCCUUGGGCCUUCAGUCAGUAAGAGUGCCUCCUUCCAGGUGCUCUCUGAUGCUUUAAGGGUCUCAGAGGGCCCUGGCAGGAAGGUCAGACCUCAAGCAUUUCACUAUUCCCCAGCUUCGGCCCCCCCUCCCCCAGUGCCUCUCACAGUGGGAAUGGGGUCAAUGCUUAGCUGGUCACAACGUGCUGAGUCUGUGAGGUGGGGUGAAGGAAACGUGCCCAGCCGGCUCCUGGGGUCAUGGUCGGCUAGUGAUGGAAUGGCUCAGCCAGGGGACAGGCCACCACAAAACACACUCCCCACUCUCCAGCCAGCUGAGGCACCCAAGCGUGGCUGGAGAACAUUCCCUUUCUCAUUUCCAAAACCUGUGGGAAAACUCUCCAGUGGGCCACAUGGCCUUUAGAGGCUAAAUUAAGUGCUUUGCCUUCUACCCUUGGCCUCACCCCACAGGACUCUCCCUCCCCAAGACAAUGAGAGCAGAUUGUCACCUGUGCCCUCCAGGUUUUGACCCCCUACCCAACAUCUGGGCCAAUCCCCUCGAUCCUGUGUGAGAGGCCUGCACACAUCUCCCCUCACCUGGACAGCAGCAGCGGGGGGGGGGGGGG